UCAAGAUGUAUCUUUCGUGCAGAUGUAUCAAGAUCCUUUCACUUAAGAUCCAUGCAGGCGCAAGCUUUGGAUAAACUUCUGCUUCUGCGGUCGGCAUUCUUACAGGAGAACCCAAGAUUCACUGUACCUACCUGUAUGCAUUUCAAAACUGAAUAAUUGAUAGCAACAAGUAAAUAUUUGAAGUUGCAGCCAAAUGCUGUGCCUUCUCUGCUGCAAGAGCUACAUGUCACCAUUGAAGCAAGGACCAGCUCGACUCCUGCAGUAGGAGUCCAGCCUCGUCCAGUCGUCGCCGCUCGCCAAG
rnacentral:lncRNA from 1 species